GAUGAACGCUGGCGGCGUGCCUAAUACAUGCAAGUCGAGCGAACGGACGAGAAGCUUGCUUCUCUGAUGUUAGCGGCGGACGGGUGAGUAACACGUGGAUAACCUACCUAUAAGACUGGGAUAACUUCGGGAAACCGUAGCUAAUACCGGAUAAUAUUUUGAACCGCAUGGUUCAAAAGUGAAAGACGGUCUUGCUGUCACUUAUAGAUGGAUCCGCGCUGCAUUAACUAGUUGGUAAGGUAACGGCUUACCAAGGCAACGAUGCAUAGCCGACCUGAGAGGGUGAUCGGCCACACUGGAACUGAGACACGGUCCAGACUCCUACGGGAGGCAGCAGUAGGGAAUCUUCCGCAAUGGGCGAAAGCCUGACGGAGCAACGCCGCGUGAGUGAUGAAGGUCUUCGGAUCGUAAAACUCUGUUAUUAGGGAAGAACAUAUGUGUAAGUAACUGUGCACAUCUUGACGGUACCUAAUCAGAAAGCCACGGCUAACUACGUG
rnacentral:rRNA from 1 species